GACGAACCGUGCGAACGUUGUUCGGAAUCAUUGGGCUUAAAGGGCGCGUAGGCGGGCUGGCCAGUCCGGGGUGAAAGCCCACGGCUCAACCGUGGAAGUGCCUUGGAUACUGCCAGUCUCGAGGGAGGUAGGGGCGUGCGGAACUUCCGGUGGAGCGGUGAAAUGCGUAGAUAUCGGAAGGAACACCGGUGGCGAAAGCGGCGCGCUGGACCUCUUCUGACGCUGAGGCGCGAAAGCCAGGGGAGCAAAGCGGG
rnacentral:rRNA from 1 species